AUUGAACGCUGGCGGCAGGCCUAACACAUGCAAGUCGGACGAGUGGCGGACGGGUGAGUAAUGUCUGGGGAACUGCCUGAUGGAGGGGGAUAACUACUGGAAACGGUAGCUAAUACCGCAUACCAUCAGAUGUGCCCAUAUGGGAUUAGCUUGUUGGUAAGGUAACGGCUCACCAAGGCGCCGAUCCCUAGCUGGUCUGAGAGGAUGACCAGCAACACUGGAACUGAGACACGGCCCAGACUCCUACGGGAGGCAGCAGUGGGGAAUAUUGCACAAUGGGCGCAAGCCUGAUGCAGCCAUGCCGCGUGUAUGAAGAAGGCCUUCGGGUUGUAAAGUACUUUCAGUGGGGAGGCGUUACCGACAGAAGAAGCACCGGCUAACUCCGUGCCAGCAGCCGCGGUAAUUC
rnacentral:rRNA from 1 species